ensembl:snRNA U6 U6 spliceosomal RNA
GUGCUUCCUUCAGCAGCACAUAUUCUAAAAUUAGAAUGAUACAGAGAAGAUUAGCAUGUUCCCUGCGCAAGGAUGACAUGCAAAUUCAUGAAGUGUUCUAUAUUUUU